UACGAAGGGGGCUAGCGUUGUUCGGAAUCACUGGGCGUAAAGCGCACGCAGGCGGAUCGAUAAGUCGGGGGUGGAAGCCCGGGGCUCAACCUCGGAAUUGCCUUCGAUACUGUCGGUCUCGAGUCCGGGAGAGGUGAGUGGAAUUCCUAGUGUAGAGGUGAAAUUCGUAGAUAUUAGGAAGAACACCAGUGGCGAAGGCGGCUCACUGGCCCGGUACUGACGCUCAGGUGCGAAAGUGUGGGGUGCAAACAGG
rnacentral:rRNA from 1 species